rnacentral:rRNA from 1 species
AUGGAGCCGACCUUGAAAUACCACCCUUUAAUGUUUGAUGUUCUAACGUUGACCCGUAAUCCGGGUUGCGGACAGUGUCUGGUGGGUAGUUUGACUGGGGCGGUCUCCUCCUAAAGAGUAACGGAGGAGCACGAAGGUUGGCUAAUCCUGGUCGGACAUCAGGAGGUUAGUGCAAUGGCAUAAGCCAGCUUGACUGCGAGCGUGACGGCGCGAGCAGGUGCGAAAGCAGGUCAUAGUGAUCCGGUGGUUCUGAAUGGAAGGGCCAUCGCUCAACGGAUAAAAGGUACUCCGGGGAUAACAGGCUGAUACCGCCCAAGAGUUCAUAUCGACGGCGGUGUUUGGCACCUCGAUGUCGGCUCAUCACAUCCUGGGGCUGAAGUAGGUCCCAAGGGUAUGGCUGUUCGCCAUUUAAAGUGGUACGCGAGCUGGGUUUAGAACGUCGUGAGACAGUUCGGUCCCUAUCUGCCGUGGGCGCUGGAGAACUGAGGGGGGCUGCUCCUAGUACGAGAGGACCGGAGUGGACGCAUCACUGGUGUUCGGGUUGUCAUGCCAAUGGCACUGCCCGGUAGCUAAAUGCGGAAGAGAUAAGUGCUGAAAGCAUCUAAGCACGAAACUUGCCCCGAGAUGAGUUCUCCCUGACUCCUUGAG